UACAGAGGUGGCAAGCGUUGUUCGGAAUUACUGGGCGUAAAGGGCGCGUAGGCGGUCGGGCAAGUCCUGUGUGAAAUCCCUCGGCUCAACUGAGGAACUGCACGGGAAACUGCCUGACUUGAGUUCGGGAGAGGGAAGCGGAAUUCCGGGUGUAGCGGUGAAAUGCGUAGAUAUCCGGAGGAACACCGGUGGCGAAGGCGGCUUCCUGGACCGACGCUGACGCUGAGGCGCGAAAGCUAGGGGAGCAAACGGG
rnacentral:rRNA from 1 species